rnacentral:rRNA from 1 species
ACGAACCUUCGGGUUAGUGGCGGACGGGUGAGUAACGCGUGAGAAUCUGCCCUCAGGAGGGGGAUAACGGUUGGAAACGACCGCUAAUACCCCAUAUGCCGAGAGGUGAAAUGAAUUUCGCCUGAGGAUGAGCUCGCGUCUGAUUAGUUAGUUGGUGGGGUAAUGGCCUACCAAGACAUCGAUCAGUAGCUGGUCUGAGAGGAUGAUCAGCCACACUGGGACUGAGACACGGCCCAGACUCCUACGGGAGGCAGCAGUGGGGAAUUUUCCGCAAUGGGCGAAAGCCUGACGGAGCAACGCCGCGUGAGGGAUGAAGGCCUCUGGGCUGUAAACCUCUUUUAUCAAGGAAGAAGAU